GCGGCUAAGGAUGAGCCUGCGUUGGAUUAGCUAGUUGGUAGGGUAACGGCCUACCAAGGCGAUGAUCCAUAGCGGGUCUGAGAGGAUGAUCCGCCACACUGGCACUGAGACACGGGCCAG
rnacentral:rRNA from 1 species